AUUGAACGCUGGCGGCAGGCCUAACACAUGCCAGUCGAACGGUAACAGGAAGAAGCUUGCUUCUUUGCUGACGAGUGGCGGACGGGUGAGUAAUGUCUGGGAAACUGCCUGAUGGAGGGGGAUAACUACUGGAAACGGUAGCUAAUACCGCAUAACGUCGCAAGACCAAAGAGGGGGACCUUCGGGCCUCUUGCCAUCGGAUGUGCCCAGAUGGGAUUAGCUAGUAGGUGGGGUAACGGCUCACCUAGGCGACGAUCCCUAGCUGGUCUGAGAGGAUGACCAGCCACACUGGAACUGAGACACGGUCCAGACUCCUACGGGAGGCAGCAGUGGGGAAUAUUGCACAAUGGGCGCAAGCCUGAUGCAGCCAUGCCGCGUGUAUGAAGAAGGCCUUCGGGUUGUAAAGUACUUUCAGCGGGGAGGAAGGGAGUAAAGUUAAUACCUUUACUCAUUGACGGUACCCGCAGAAGAAGCACCGGCUAACUCCGUG
rnacentral:rRNA from 1 species